rnacentral:sRNA from 1 species
GCCAGGCGUGGUGGUGCACACCUGUAAUCCCAAUGACUGGGGAGGCUGAGGCAAGAAGAUUGUGAGUUCAAAGCCAGCCUUAGCAAUGACGAGGCACUAAGCAACUCAAUGAGACCUUGUCUCUA